AUGGGGACAGGCACAGGGAUGGGGACGGGCACCCAGGGAUGGGGACAGGAACCCAACAUCCCUGUGACAGGGACAGGAACCCAGGGAUGGGGACAGGAACCCAGCAUCCCAGACAUGGGGACAGGCACCCAACAUCCCUGUGACAGGGACAGGAACCCAGGGAUGGGGACAGGCACCCAAUGUCUCCAGGAUGGGGACGGGCACCCAGUGUCCCCAGAAUGGGAAAAGGCACCCCAGGAUGGGGACAGGAACCCAGGGAUGGGGACAGGCACCCAACAUCCCUGUGAUGGGGACAGGAAUCCAGGGAUGGGGACAGACAUCUGGCCAUGGGGACAGGCUCCCAGUGAUGGGGACAGGCACCCAGUGUCCCCUCUGUGGGGAUGGGCACCCAACGUCCCUGGGAUGGGGACGGGCACCCUGGGAUGGGGACGGGCACCCUGGGAUGGGGACAGGAACCCAGGGAUGGGGACAGGCACCUGGCCAUGGGGACAGGAACCCAGUGUCCCCAGAAUGAUAAAAGGCAUCCCAGGAUGGGGACAGGAACCCGGGCAUGGGGACAGGAACCCAGGGAUGGGGACAGGAACCCAGGAUGGGGACAGGAACCCAGGAUGGGGACAGGAACCCUGGGAUGGGGACAGGAACCCAGUGUCCCUGGGAUGGGGACAAGCACCCCAGGAUGGGGGCAGGCACCCAGUGUCCCCACGAUGGCAGUGGCCACCCAGCUGUUGUCACAGGUCCAGCCACCGACCUGGGGAUCCCACCCGUCACCAUCUGGUCCCAGGUGCCACCUCGAGCUGGGACCCCCACCCCAAUCCCAGUUACACCCAUCCCUCCCAGUGCCCCAGCCCCAGUCCGGCCCCCCCUUCAUUCUGGAGCCUUUCUGGCUCUCGCUGUCCCCACCGGCCACCUCCUGAGGUGACCUCACUCCCUUGGAAUGGUGUCCUCGUCCUUAUCUCCCCGUUCCCAGUUCCCAGUGGGUCCCAGUUGGUUCCCAGCCGGGCGUUAUCGUGGCUCGGGGGCUGCGGCAGCAGCACUGGGGGGAGCCCCCCCGGGGAGAUAACGGCUCGUGGGGACGGUCACCCGCUGUGCUGGGGUGGGAACAGGCACCCAGGGAUGGGGACAGACACCCAGUGCCACCAGGAUGGGGACAGACACCCAGGGAUGGGGACAGACACCCAGUGCCACCAGGAUGGGGACAGGCACCCAGGGAUGGGGACAGACACCCAGUGCCACCAGGAUGGGGACAGGCACCCAGGGAUGGGGACAGACACCCAGUGCCACCAGGAUGGGGACAGACACCCAGGGAUGGGGACAGACACCCAGUGCCACCAGGAUGGGGACAGGCACCCAGGGAUGGGGACAGACACCCAGUGCCACCAGGAUGGGGACAGACACCCAGGGAUGGGGACAGACACCCAGUGCCACCAGGAUGGGGACAGACACCCAGUGCCCCCACGUAAGGCUGGCACCCCCAUUCUCCAGAGGGUGUCCCCAUCCCUGGCACCUCCAACCAUCACAAACCAGGGCUGUGACCCCUGGGGGGGGCAUGUCCACACUCCCCAAAUCUCCUUUUUUUCACCCCAGAAUCCCCUUUUUUUCCCAAAAAAUCCCCUUUUUUCCCCCAAAAAUCCCCCUUUUUUUCCCCAAAGAUCCCCCUUUUUUUCCCCAGAAAUCCCCCUUUUUUUCCCCAGAAAUCCCUUUUUUCCCCCCCAAAGAUCCCUUUUUUCCCCCCCAAAGAUCCCUUUUUUCCCCCAGAGAUCCCUUUCUUUGGCCAAAAAUCCCCCUUUUUUCCUCAGAAAUCCCUUUUUUCCCAAAAAAUCUUUUUUCCCCAAAAAUCCCUUUAUUUUCCCCAAAAUUUCCCCUUUUUUCCCCCAAAGAUCCCCUUUUUUUUCACCAAAAAUCCCCUUUUUUCCCCAAAAAAUCCCUUUUUUUCCCCCCAAAUCCCUUUUUUCCCCCAAAGAUCCCCCCUUUUCCCCCAAAGAUCCCCCCUUUUUCCCCAGAAAUCCCUUUUUUCCCCCCAAGAAUCCCUUUUUUCCCCCAAGAAUCCCUUUUUUCCCCAAGAAUCCCUUUUUCCCCACCCAAAAUUCCUUCCCCCCCUAUCCCCCUUUUUUUCCACCAAAAAUUACCCUUUUCCCCCCAAAAAUCGCCCUUUUCCCCCAAAAUCCCUUUUUUCUUCACCAAAAUCCCUUUUUUUCACCAAAAAUCCGGCUUUUUUCACCAAAGAUCCCUUUCUUCCCCAGAAAUCCCUUUUUUCCCUAA
rnacentral:lncRNA from 1 species